AGAGUUUGAUCAUGGCUCAGGAUGAACGCUGGCGGUGUGCCUAAUACAUGCAAGUCGUACGCAUUCCCGUUUUUGAUUGAAGGUGCUUGCACCUGAUUGAUAAAACAUCGGAAUGAGUGGCGGACGGGUGAGUAACACGUGGGUAACCUGCCCAGAAGUGGGGGAUAACAUUUGGAAACAGAUGCUAAUACCGCAUAAUAGAAUAGAACCACCAUGGUUCUAUUUUGAAAGAUGGGCCUUUGUGCUAUCACUUUCUGGAUGGACCCCGCGGUGUUAUUAGCUAGUUUGGUAAGGUAACGGCUUACCAAGGCAAUGAUACAUAGCCGAACUGAGAGGUUGAUCGGCCACAAUGGGACUGAGACACGGCCCAUACUCCUACGGGAGGCAGCAGUAGGGAAUCUUCCACAAUGGGCGCAAGCCUGAUGGAGCAACACCGCGUGAGUGAAGAAGGGUUUCGGCUCGUAAAACUCUGUUGUUAAAGAAGAACGUAUCUAAGAGUAACUGCUUAGGUAGUGACGGUAUUUAACCAGAAAGCCACGGCUAACUACGUGCCAGCAGCCGCGGUAAUACGUAGGUGGCAAGCGUUAUCCGGAUUUAUUGGGCGUAAAGCGAGCGCAGGCGGUUUUUUAAGUCUGAUGUGAAAGCCUUCGGCUUAACCGAAGAAGUGCAUCGGAAACUGGGAAACUUGAGUGCAGAAGAGGACAGUGGAACUCCCAUGUGUAGCGGUGAAAUGCGUAGAUAUAUGGAAGAACACCCAGUUGGCGAAAGGCGGCUGUCUUGGUUCUGUAACUGACGCUGAGGCUUCGAAAGCAUGGGGUAGCGAACAGGAUUAGAUACCCUUGGUAGUCCAUGCCGUAAACGAUGAAUGCUAAGUGUUGGAGGGGUUUCCGCCCCUUCAGUGCUGCAGCUAACGCAUUAAGCAUUCCGCCUGGGGAGUACGACCGCAAGGUUGAAACUCAAAGGAAUUGACGGGGGCCCGCACAAGCGGUGGAGCAUGUGGUUUAAUUCGAAGCAACGCGAAGAACCUUACCAGGUCUUGACAUCUAGCGCCAAUCUCAGAGAUGAGACGUUCCCUUCCGGGGACGCUAAGACAGGUGGUGCAUGGUUGUCGUCAGCUCGUGUCGUGAGAUGUUGGGUUAAGUCCCGCAACGAGCGCAACCCUUAUUAUCAGUUGCCCAGCAUUUAGUUGGGCACUCUGGUGAGAACUGCCGGUGACAAACCGGAGGAAAGGUGGGGACGACGUCAAAUCAUCAUGCCCCUUAUGACCUGGGCUACACACGUGCUACAAUGGACGGUACAACGAGUUGCGAACUCGCGAGGGUAAGCUAAUCUCUUAAAGCCGUUCUCAGUUCGGACUGUAGGCUGCAACUCGCCUACACGAAAGUCGGAAAUCGCUAGUAAUCGCGGAUCAGCAUGCCGGCGGUGGAAUACGUUCCCGGGCCUUGUACACACCGCCCGUCACACCAUGAGAGUUUGUAACACCCAAAGUCGGUGGGGUAACCCUUCGGGGAGCCCAGCCGCCUAAAGGUGGGACAGAUGAUUAGGGUGAAGUCGUAACAAGGUAGCCGUAGGAGAACCUGCGGUUGGAUCACCUCCUU
rnacentral:rRNA from 1 species